ensembl:lncRNA
GUGAACAGCGUGAGCAGCGUGAGCGCUCUGUCCGUCCCCCGUCACUCGUCCCUCACCACCGACUCCUUCAGCAGCGAGUCGUCCUUCCUCUGCUCCUCCUCCGUCUCCUCGUCUCCCUCACACGCUUCCACAAGGAGCUCAACGAUACCAACAGCUUCAUCACAGCGCUGUGACACGCCUUCGACCCGACCCGACCCGACCCGCACCGCGCCACGGCGAGACGUGCAGCGUGUAAAACACCGAACUCUGCAGUACAUACACGUUAUUUCACACUGUUCCUACUUUUAAACGAAUGGUUACGCAGUACUUAACCCCCGUCACACCGCUGGGUCACGGAUAGCGUUAUACUCGGCUAAAUCCACACACAGCAGCACGGCUCCAAUCGCAGCUACGACCAGGCAGAAGAUGUUGGAGUGAAAACACAUCUGCGGGAGAAAACGAACACGUCGAGCGUUUGAGAAAGAAACAGAAAGAAACGUCGUUAUUGCACGUGUAUAAGGCAGAGACGUGAACCUGUAAGAUUGUGGGGUGUCUGUAGAGCAGCAUGGAGAAAAGUCCAGCAAUCAGGAACUGAAACAUAACACGAAAAGAAAAAAAGCAAGAUUUAUAGCACAAAGAGUUCCUGGAAAGCAACGUCGUAAAUAAAGAACUGUACGUCAAUGUAUAUACAGCAUAGGGAAUAAAACACUGUGUGUGUGUGUGUGUGUGAUUAUAGCACAGCAAUUUGCCCAUAAUUACA